UGACAGUGACAAAAAGGAAGCAGCCUUCUCUAGCCCACCCAAGUUUCCAUCAAAGGAGCAAGCCUAUGUCAGUAAGAAGAAAGCUGGCUAACCCUCCCACCCCUUGUUUAACUCCUCCAGCCCAUCCCACAUCAUUGUAGAGUGAAGAGACUGCGGUUAAUAUUCAGAAAGAGGCGCAGAGAACUGAAGGCUUUCCUGACUUGACACCGAAUAAUAACGAAGGCCUGUGUGCUUUGCAGCAGCCUCCACGUCACCCUCUUCCAGGGCUCCGUCAGAGGACUAACGAUAUGCCACAAGAUGAUUGGCAGCAAGACACACCCAGUGAUGAAGGGAUGUGCUCUCCUUAAAUCACAGCCUAUUCAUCAGGUACUCCUGAGUGCUGUGUUAAGAAAUCCUGCCUACAAAGUUCCACUGAGGCUGAUAUAAAGAUGACUGUGAGAAACUGGCUGCGGCUGUCUGAGCAGAGACAGGAAUGGGGGCGGCAAAGGCGGGACAAGCAAGCAUCUUAAGUGAAAUAAUUGAUUGGACUGAUUCUGGAGUAUGACUUAUUCUGGAGGGAAUUUCUUAUUUUUGUUGCAGUUUGCUAUGGGACGGUUUCAAGGACAGGGAUUAGACUAGUUCUAGACUAAAAUAAAUGUAAGAGCUGUCCAAACUGAAAACAACUUGCACUGACAUAUCAUAAAAUACAUCAGUGUCUUUUGUGAUGCUUCAAAAUGCACACAAGUAAUGUUUUUAUUAAGACAUGUUAUUAAAACUAGUUAUAUUUCAGAAUUAAACUAAGGCCUAGUCCCGGUUUAAGAUAAUCCCUGUCCGGGAAACCACCCCAAAGUGUAAUUUGUGGAGUGUUAAAAUAAAUGAAACUGCCUUUGCAAAAACAAAGUAAAAAAAAAUUUCCAGAUGCC